ensembl:misc_RNA
GUGACAGCCUUAGAGGGUAAAGAACUCUUUAUCCACAGAACGGAUACAAGUUGUCACAUAAGCUUCCCUGUACUGGUGUGCUAAUGUACCUCAGCCCUAACCAGAACCAUCUGUAGGGUUGAGGGGGUAGUUCAGUCUCCAUGGCUCAUUCAGUCCUUGGUCUCU